rnacentral:rRNA from 1 species
UGCUAGUCGCACGAGCUUAGACUCGUGGCAGAUAGCUCAGUAACACGUGGCCAAACAACCCUCUGGACGAGCAUACCCUCGGGAAACUGAGGCUAAUACUCGAUACUACUCGACGCCUGGAACGGCCCGAGAUCCAAAUGCUCCGGCGCCAGAGGCUGUGGCUGCGGCCGAUUAGGUAGACGGUGGGGUAACGGCCCACCGUGCCCAUAAUCGGUACGGGUUGUGAGAGCAAGAGCCCGGAGACGGUAUCUGAGACAAGAUACCGGGCCCUACGGGGCGCAGCAGGCGCGAAACCUUUACACUGCACGACAGUGCGAUAAGGGGAUCCCCAGUGCGAGGGCAUACAGUCCUCGCUUUUCACCACCGUAAGGUGGUGGUGGAACAAGAGCUGGGCAAGACCGGUGCCAGCCGCCGCGGUAAUACCGGCAGCUCGAGUGAUGGCCGUUCUUAUUGGGCCUAAAGCGUCCGUAGCCGGCCACAUAAGUUCGUCGGGAAAUCCACAUGCUCAACAUGUGGGCGUCCGGCGAAACCUGUGUGGCUUGGGACCGGACGGCCCAGAGGGUACGGCCGGGGUAGGAGUGAAAUCCUGUAAUCCCGGCCGGACCACCGGUGGCGAAAGCGCUCUGGGAGGACGGAUCCGACGGUGAGGGACGAAAGCCAGGGUCACGAACCGGAUUAGAUACCCGGGUAGUCCUGGCUGUAAACGAUGCCCGUUAGGUGUGGCACAGGCUACGAGCCUGUGCUGUGCCGCA